CCUACGGGAGGCUGCAGUGGGGAAUCUUAGACAAUGGGCGCAAGCCUGAUCUAGCCAUGCCGCGUGAGCGAUGAAGGCCUUAGGGUUGUAAAGCUCUUUCAGUGGGGAAGAUAAUGACUGUACCCACAGAAGAAGCCCCGGCUAACUCCGUGCCAGCAGCCGCGGUAAUACGGAGGGGGCUAGCGUUGUUCGGAAUUACUGGGCGUAAAGCGCACGUAGGCGGACCAGAAAGUAGGGGGUGAAAUCCCGGGGCUCAACCUCGGAACUGCCUUCUAAACUCCUGGUCUUGAGGUCGAGAGAGGUGAGUGGAAUUCCGAGUGUAGAGGUGAAAUUCGUAGAUAUUCGGAGGAACACCAGUGGCGAAGGCGGCUCACUGGCUCGAUACUGACGCUGAGGUGCGAAAGCGUGGGGAGCAAACAGGAUUAGAUACCCCAGUAGUC
rnacentral:rRNA from 1 species